rnacentral:lncRNA from 1 species
AUUCCCUUCACUUUUAACAGCACCUUUUGUAACAAUUAUGCUAAAUCUUUACUAUUAUAGAUGGAGGCCACUUAUCCUUGCUUCAGCAUACUACACACCUUUUGUUCAAGUUCAAAGUUUGGCUGGGUUACUCAGAUUAAUAUUCCUUUUCUAACGAUUUUUAUACCUUUUGGAUCUACUGUAUUAUUCAUAGUUGUUGUUUCUUUUGUUUUCUUUUUACUUUUUGAACUUAGUCCUCUCCGUUUACUAAUGCAAAUGUUUGUAUUGGGGCUAUG